rnacentral:rRNA from 1 species
GACGAACGCUGGCGGCGUGCCCAAUACAUGCAAGUCGAGCGCAGGAAGCCGUCUGAACCCUUCGGGGGGACGACGGUGGAAUGAGCGGCGGACGGGUGAGUAACACGUAAAGAACCUACCCAUAGGUCUGGGAUAACCACGAGAAAUCGGGGCUAAUACCGGAUGUGUCAUCGGACCGCAUGGUCCGCUGAUGAAAGGCGCUCCGGCGUCGCCCAUGGAUGGCUUUGCGGUGCAUUAGCUAGUUGGUGGGGUAACGGCCCACCAAGGCGACGAUGCAUAGCCGACCUGAGAGGGUGAUCGGCCACACUGGGACUGAGACACGGCCCAGACUCCUACGGGAGGCAGCAGUAGGGAAUCUUCCACAAUGGACGAAAGUCUGAUGGAGCAACGCCGCGUGAACGAUGAAGGCUUUCGGGUCGUAAAGUUCUGUUGUAAGGGAAGAACAAGUGCCGCAGGCAAUGGCGGCACCUUGACGGUACCUUGCGAGAAAGCCACGGCUAACUACGUGCCAGCAGCCGCAGUAAGAC